GUGCUGAGUCCAAGAGGUUGGGCCCACGGCCAGCAAUCGUGCAACAUUUGGAUUCGUUUCGGUAUCGGGUGAACAGUCGUCGUCGUCGCAGCAAAGCUCAAACCAGAGAUCACACAGAAUGCAGAUCUGUAAAAUUUCAAUUGGAUCGCUACAGAUCGUGUUUGCAUCUGCCUCAGCUGCGCUGCGCACUUCAAAUCCCCAAAUGGAAAGUAAUCGUUGACUGAACCCAACCCCACCCCCAACUCUCUUUGACCACCAUCCAUCCAUCCGACCGCUCGGCACAUAACACCUCCAUCACUUUCGGCUUGUUUGGCACCGCACAUCCUAAACAUCAUCCAGCACCGACCGGCAAAGCAGCACCUGAAGAUGAAGUUGAAGCUGAAGUUGACACGAAAUUUGUCGGCGGCAAAUUGGCACUUGAUUGUUAGCCACGGCCAAUUCGCUUUUUGGCACUCAUCACAAGGCAUUGAAUCGCACGGACCCGUUGGAAGACCCCCCAAAAACACUCUCGGCCCUUGUACAAAAUUUACAUUCGUGAUUAAGUUUAGGUGUAACCAAUAAACACAAAAAAAAACUACAAUAGGCUACCAAAAA